GACGAACGCUGGUGGCGUGCCUAAUACAUGCAAGUCGAGCGCAGGAAAUCGACGGAACCCUUCGGGGGGAAGUCGAUGGAAUGAGCGGCGGACGGGUGAGUAACACGUAAAGAACCUGCCCUCAGGUCUGGGAUAACCACGAGAAAUCGGGGCUAAUACCGGAUGGGUCAUCGGACCGCAUGGUCCGAGGAUGAAAGGCGCUUCGGCGUCGCCUGGGGAUGGCUUUGCGGUGCAUUAGCUAGUUGGUGGGGUAAUGGCCCACCAAGGCGACGAUGCACAGCCGAACUGAGAGGGUGAUCGGCCACACUGGGACUGAGACACGGCCCAGACUCCUACGGGAGGCAGCAGUAGGGAAUCUUCCACAAUGGACGAAAGUCUGAUGGAGCAACGCCGCGUGAACGAUGAAGGCCUUCGGGUCGUAAAGUUCUGUUGUAAGGGAAGAACAAGUGCCGCAGGCAAUGGCGGCACCUUGACGGUACCUUGCGAGAAAGCCACGGCUAACUACGUGCCAGCCGCCGCAGUAACAC
rnacentral:rRNA from 1 species